rnacentral:rRNA from 1 species
CCAUGCAGUAGUAUGUAUGUAUACACAAGGCUCAGUAUCGAGUAUAGCUUUGCUCUCCAAGAUGUGAUACUUUCAGGAAACAGAAAAUAAAGCAUCUAUCUUCUAGAGUUUUUUAGAGGAGAGGAGAAGAAGCGACUCACCUAUCAGUUAGUAGGUAUGGUAAGGGCAUACCUAGACGAAGACGGGUACGGGGAAGGCAACUUCGAUUCCGGAGAGGGCGCAUUUAGAGAUGGCGACCAGUUCUAAGGAGUGCAGCAGGCUCGAAACUUACCGAAUUAUAGAUUAGAGGUAGUGAUGAAACGUUUAUAUAAAGAUACUGGUAAAGCAAGUAUUAGUAACUGGAGGGUAAGUCUGGUGCCAGCAGCCGCGGUAAUACCAGCUCCAGGAGCUUCUUCGAUAUGUUGCGGUUAAAACGUCCGUAGUCGCGGCUUGGGACUGACCUGUAAUCUAUUUGGUCAACAGAUAGAUAGGGGCAGUAGUAAGCUGGAAAAGAGCAAUUUGGUGUCAGCUAAUGGUAUGGGGAGGGGUGAAGUCUGAGGAUCCAUGCAGGAGGAGCAAAGGCGAAAGCACUGACAAAGAUUGAUUCUGUUGAUCAAGGACAGAGGCUAGAGGAUCGAAUACGAUUAGAUACCGUAGUAGUUCUAGCAGUGACCGAUGAUGAUUUUGCUUAUGGCAAUAGAGAAAUCAAAAUAGAUCUCCGGGGGGAGUACAUGCGCAAGCAAGAAACUUAAAGAAAUUGACGGAAGACUACCACAAGGUGUGGAUUGUUCGGCUUAAUUUGACUCAACGCGGGAAAACUUACCAAGCUUAUUUGUUCAACGAGUAUUUAUACGAGAGCAAAAUGGUGGUGCAUGGCCGUUCCUAACAGAUGGAGUGAUUUUGUGAUUAACUUCCGUAAUCUGUGUAAUCUCAGAAUAGCUUGUUCGAAAGAACAAUUCGAGGCAAGAACAGGUCAGUGAUGUCCUUUGAUAGCUUGGGCUGCACGCGCAAUACAAUGUUUUAUGUAAUAAGAUAUAGAUAAAAAAUAGAACAUGAGGGAUUGAGGGCUGAAAAGCACUCAUGAACACGGAAUAGCUAGUAAUCGUUUGUUCAAUAUACGGCGAUGAAUAUGUCCCUGUUCUUUGUACACACCGCCCGUCGUUAUCGAAGAUGGAGUGAUUUUUGAGUCAAUUAUAAUUGGCGAAUGAGUCAUUCUAAAUCCGGUACAAGUCGUAACAAGGCUACGGUUGAAGAAUCAGCAGUAGGAUUAGCGUGAUUGUUAUUGAAUAAUAAGGGUCUACAAGGGAUCAAUUGGUUCUUCGGUUGAGAAAGGAUGGAAGAGUAUCCAUAAUGGAUUUGAGUGCAAACUAUGAGAAUCCGUCUCUGACAAGUACUCCUUGAAUUGAAGCCUCUUAGUAAAGGAAGGAAAAGAAACUAACAAGGAUAUCCGCAGUAGUGGCGAACGAACUGGAUAGAGUCUGCUAUGUAAUCCGCAAGGAGAUGUUAAGGCUGCAUAGGAAGUCAGUUGGAAUGCUGCGAAAGAUAAGGUGAUAUCCCUUACAAGGCGAGAAAGGAAAGUAGCCAUACUUGGUAGUGGAUGGUGAAGACGGUGGUUUUUUCCAUCGAAGACUAAAUACAAGAAGAGACCGAUAGCGAAUAAGUAGAGUAAUCGAAAGUGUGAAAUUGUAGACUUACCCAUUAAUAUGGGC